CGAGCGGCUCUACCGGAGCAGAGACGAGAGCUCGGCUCCCCCCAUCCCCGCACUGCCCCUGCCCGGCAGAGCCGCCCCGGGGGCCGGGGGCAGCCGCGCCGCAGCCCUUCCCCCUCCCUUUUCUCCCCCUCUCCCCGUUUCCUCCCGGCGGCCGGGGGCGCUGCUCGGGGCCGGGCGGGGAAGGGAGCGGCGGGAGCCGGCGGCUCCGGUAGCGCCUCGUUCGCCGCCGCCAGGCCGAGGGGCUGCGCUGCCCGCGCCCCGCCUCACCUCCUCGAUGGCCGCCACCGUGUUCCUGCACUGGGCCAUCCGGGUGGUGAAGUUGGAGGCGGCUGCCCUCCAGAGUUGCUCUCCUCAUGGCAUCUCAGGCUGGACUGAGUUGUGAGGAUGGAGCUGCAGGCCCUUGAGCCAUCUCUAGACUGCACAUUAGAUGGGAAGCCCUCAGAGCUAUUGACAGCUGAGGACUUACCUUGCUGCAGUCUCAAUAAGGCUGUUCUAGCACUCCUGCCGUACAGAUUGUGUUUCCACUGCAUGAGCUGCCUCUUCAUUCUUUGUCAUUAUCCAUAAACACCACAGCAUCUGGGUCUCUGCUCUCAUAAACCAGCCUGCUAACACAAGCAGAGGAGAACAAUAUCAGAAGGGGGAGAAUAGGUCUUUUCUGAGAAAUUACAGAACUACCAUUCAGUCCCAGAAUCAGCGGAGUACCCUGCAUUCAGGUGACAGGAAUGACGUGAAAGUCAUCUGAAUCACGUUUAGGAAUGAAGAGACAAAGUGAGGAGAGGAGAUGUGCUUUUGGCUUCAGGAAUUUCUAGAAAAAGUAAAGAAGAAAAAAAGCUGUAUUAUUUUCAAACACAAAGGGUUUUUAUUUCUCUCUUAAAGUUGCUGUCAAAGAGAGACUUCUCAAAGUCAGUUCAGAAGACAACAGUGCUCCAUCACCCCACUGGAAUUUAUAAGAUAGACGGGGAACCUGAAGGUUGUCUCUCUUCAGAGAGACAGUUUGAAAUCCUAUGAAAUGCUGGGAAAUUAAAUGCAGUCCUGUCUGGCCAGGACCUGAGCAAGAUGGAGGAAGAAGAACUGUCAAAAAAGAAAACUAAAACUGCUGUUACCUACUUUUAACAUGUAAUAUACAAAUUCAGAGUUUCCUCACUGCAGUGAGGCUGGGCUUGAAACAAAAUGGAAUUCAACGGAAAAAACAUACCCUGCCUGGUCUCCUGUAGUCAGUCUACCAAUCAAGCUUGAAGCAUGCAAUCAUGUACUUGGUGAAUGUCUGUUAAAUAAAAUAUGAUGACCUUUAAAGCAGAGAAUAUAUUAAUAAACAAAGGGAAGUCUUCUAGCAUGAAGUCUUCUAGCCUUGUAGGGGAAAGUCCUCAGCAUACUUUUCAAACUUCUGUCAGAUCACUGGCCUUGAAUCGGAGAGAUCUGGCAGUGAUGAAGUGGCUGCCUUGGAUGCCUUUCAGGGACCAUCUUUUGCUCCCUUGGUUGCUUGCCCAAGGCUGAUCAUCAGGAAUCCAUGAGAAAUGGUAGGAAACGUUGGUUUAUUGCGUAGGGCAACUACCUGGCAGUGAGGGUCAGUUUUGUAGUCAGUGAGGAAAUCCUGUGUUAUCUAUGUAAGUUAUCUUAGGCAAAAUAACACAAGUGUCUGCAGGGUAUGUACGCUCAAAUUGAUUGCUGACCUUUGUCAAUUGAGGAAAGUCUCACUUCUCUUUCUCACUUCUGAAUCUCACCACAAACUUGUUUUUGCUGUCUUUUGAGGUUACUCAUACUGUUCAUAAAUUUCCAUCUGUAUUUGUUUUUCUUUUAAUGUUACUUCUAGCACUUGACAUACAGAAAUGUAGAUUAAGUUAGUAUGAGGAGUCUUUGUGGCUUGUGAACUUCAGCGUGAGAGUUACUGCUAGAGAAAGGGAACUGACUACAUACUAGGAGUGGACAACAAACUGUCCCUACUAAUACUGCCUGCACUGUUGCCAUUACAGCUUGGUCUCUUUGUUUCUAUGGCAUUCCAGUAAGGAGGUGCUUUACCAGACAUCUCAGUUUCAUUAAAAGAAAAGGAGAAGGAGCUUUGUCUUUUAUAUCACAAAAUUGUCCAGUUGGAGGCAUCUGCCUGAGGCAAUUACUAACCCUGCCUCCUCUUCCUUGGCUGAUUUUCAAAGGGCCAUAAGGUAGACUAAGCCACAGGUUCCCUUAUGGAGUUCUUGCCCAGCUGCUUGUCUCCUUCUUGGAUGUGGACAUGGGUGAUCUGAGGGGCCUCAUGGAAUUGGGGUGGAUGUGAGCUGUCAGAGUUUGAGGGGUGAAAGGCUGUAGCACUGUCUAGUGCGAUGGCAAGGAAGUGGCCUUUCAGAAAGGUCAGGAGGUGAAAGAAGUGGUAAGGACAGAAAGAGAGAAGCUGAAGGAGUAGCAAACAUAUCCUUUCUUGUUCCUCCUACAUAACGAGUCAUGCUAAUACAGGACUGCCUGAUGAACCGUGCUUGUGAAAUCUGCUGAGAACUCAUCUCUCCAGUGUGUUGCUGUGCUGGAACGUGGCAGGCAGGAGAAGACUCACAAAUCAGGUCAGCUCUAAGAUACGCAGACCAUUCUUGCAAUACAGAAAAUGUUAUAUCUAAAUCAACAGAUUACUUCUACUUGUGUGUUUAAGUUUUUUUCAUGCUGGUCACAGGCCACAGACAGAAGUAGUUCUUUUUCAGAAGCAGAUGGAAUAAUUGUCAUAGUUGAACACUAUUUAGCAGGCAAAACAGCAAACAUCCACACCGAAGAGCAGAGCAUGGCACAACUCCUUUGAAGGGGACAGCAUGUCACAUCUAUAUUGGUGAGCUAAAUGGUACAAGAGUGGGGCACAGCUCCUGCAAAGUGACCACAACAAUGUUGUAGUCACUGGCCUUUAAGAACAGCCGUGUCUUCUGCACCAACUUUAUGGGUCUAACCUUUCUUUCUUAGUAUUUAGUAAAAGCUUCUGAAAAUAAAACAUUCUGAUUCCAAUUUACAAAAUUAAUUUAAAAAAUUAAACCAAGAAGAGACAUUUAAAAUUCCCUUGGAGAAAAAAAAUAAAUAAAUAAAAAGUCUUUCACUCAAUACAAUCAUUGUUCUUAUGUAGUUCAGCUUAACCACUGAUAUUCUUAACCAUCUGUUCGUGUCCAGUACCCAGAAAUGGGUGAGACUGGUAUAUGGAGAUUUUGGCACUGUGUUAAAAAGCCUGUUUUUGUAUGUGGAUGACAGGCACAUCCAAGCUAUGUUCACUACUGCUAUGGCUGGCACCUCGCUUUGCUAAAUCUAUCCGCCUCAGUCACUGUGACCCUGCAUACUGUAGGUUUGGAUUUAGCAUUUUGUGGGUUUCAAGCAUGCUAUUGUAUUUCCUAUGCUGUCAUCUAAAUAAUUACGCAGUCUGUUCUCAUUGAACUUGUCUUAGCAGUACAGCCUUAACUAUGCUUACAUCUCACCUAUUUAUGCACAGCAUAUUAGUGAGUCCAACACUAGUGUUAUCCAUUUUAAAAUGCACUCCUAAGUGUGAAAUUCCUGCCAGGCACUUUCUGAAUUCAUGGAAGGGUCUGGCAACAUUCGUCCAGUUGCAGGACAGUAGAUGCAAAGACUGCACGUGGAUAAUACUCUUCAAUGUUAACUUAGCCUUGCUAUGACAAUAGUUUCGUAGAGUACAAUUUUAAUGUUUCUGAGUAUGUUAUGAAAUUAUGUGGGAAACCAUAAGCAUGAAAAAGCAAGGCAUAAUUAUUUAAAUCAUCUUUGAGAUUAUUUCAGGAAUAGCAGAAGCACUUGGCACUAGAGAAAUACGCAUGUCAGAAAUGAAUAUAGUUAGAACCUGAAGGCUUACAGACUUCAGAGAGAAAGCAGAAUGAAUUAAAACUAAAUCAAUACAGAAAGAUGUGUAUUAAAUUCCCAGUCUCCCUUAUUACUUACAGAGUUUAAGGAAACAAAGUAAUUUCAUUAAAUGGGCAGGGCUGGGAUAACUAACUGACUUUAACUCUCUGAAGAUGGCAUUUAUAGUGGUAAUCAAAAAUCCACUACAAGCAAAACGUUCUAGCUUUGAAGUUUAUCGAUUUAAUCAUUAUUCUACCACUAAAAAGAAGUGCAAGAAAAGCCCAAGUAUUUAUUUGUGUGACAUUUAUCAACAGUAGUGGACUAAAUCAUAAGCACAGAUAAUAAGUAUAAAUAGUUGUGAUUAAUGGAAAUAACAGGAAAAAAGUCAAAGUGAAAAAUAGGGGUUUGUCUGAAUUGUGUACGCUGUUAAUGUUUGGAGAGUAACAGAUGAUCUGAAUAAGGCUUAUGAGUUCUUCACUAUGUACAGAAACCAGGAUGUUAUCAAUGAAGAGAAACGAAUUACAUACCAGAAUGUUGCUUGUUGUGUAGUAGCUUGUAAGUUUAUCUCAUUAAAACUAACUAUUAAAGCAUUUACAAAUCCUAAUCUAAAAUCUUUCUUGCUUUGGUAUUCACAUGACUAGUCACGCUCAUCUGAAUUGAACUUAAGGAGCAGAGUUUGAUCGUUAUUUCUGUGUGAUUCAUUAAAGUUUGCGUUAAGAAUACGUAUAAAUAAUAAAGUUCCUGCCGUUUAAAA